rnacentral:rRNA from 1 species
GAUGAACGCUGGCGGCGUGCCUAACACAUGCAAGUCCAACGGACUCAUUAUUGUGAAGCCUUCAGGUGGAUUAAUAAUAACUUAAAGCCGUACCGGUGACUAACACGUGGGUAACCUGCCUCACACAAGGGGAUAACACCUGGAAACGGCUGCUAAAACCCCAUAAACAUACGCUGUUCCACGACGGAGUGUGAAAAUAUUUAUAGGUGUGAGAUGGGCCCGCGUCUGAUUACCUGGUUGGUAAGGUAACGGCUUACCGCGAGCACGAUCCGUAGCCGGGUUGAGAAAACGAUCCGCCACCUUGUACCUGAGACUGGAGCCAAACUCCUACGGGAGGAAGCACUGGCGAAUAUUGCACGAUGGGACAAAGCCUGAUACUGCCUCCCGGCGGGAGUCACCAGUAUUUCGGUAUGUAGAGCUCUAUCAGCACGGAACAAAAAGACGGUACCUGCCUAAUAUCCCGCCGCUAACUACGUGCCGACAACCCUUGUGAUACUUAUGGGGCAUCCGUUUUUCUUGAUUUUCUGUGUGUAAAGAUCGCCUAGGCGGCUGGUUAAAUCAAUGGGAAAAACCGGGGGAUCAACCCCCGAUCUGGAUUUGAUACUGCGGAGUUAGAG